rnacentral:rRNA from 1 species
GAUGAACGCUGGCGGCGUGCCUAAUACAUGCAAGUCGAGCGAAUGGAUUAAGAGCUUGCUCUUAUGAAGUUAGCGGCGGACGGGUGAGUAACACGUGGGUAACCUGCCCAUAAGACUGGGAUAACUCCGGGAAACCGGGGCUAAUACCGGAUAACAUUUUGAACCGCAUGGUUCGAAAUUGAAAGGCGGCUUCGGCUUUCACUUAUGGAUAGACCCGCGUCGCAUUAGCUAGUUGGUGAGGUAACGGCUCACCAAGGCAACGAUGCGUAGCCGACCGGGGAGGGUGAUCGGCCACACUGGGACUGAGACACGGCCCAGACUACUACGGGAGGCAGCAGUAGGGAAUCUUCCGCAAUGGACGAAAGUCUGACGGAGCAACGCCGCGUGAGUGAUGAAGGCUUUCGGGUCGUAAAACUCUGUUGUUAGGGAAGAACAAGUGCUAGUUGAAUAAGCUGGCACCUUGACGGUACCUAACCAGAAAGCCACGGCUAACUACGUGCCAGCAGCCGCCGUAA